UUAGUUUGGUUUUUUUGUUUGCCUUCCAUUUAAGUGUUAGUCAAAGGAAAUGGCUCGUGCAUCAUUAUUUAACACAUCCACAGCUGGCACAGCCUCAUUGGAUGGUUUUCUGCUGCUCAGAUCUGCUUCACCCCCGCUUGAGUCUGGCCCUGACCCUGUCCCCGUAAGGAAGCCAUAAGGAGGGCAGUGACAAUGUGGCUGCUGAGUGCUUUCAUCCUGGCAGCUGUUUUUUCUUGCAGUUCUGCACAAGUCUUGCAGCAAACCCCCAUAUCCGUCACCAAGCCAGAAAGCAAAACGGUGCUAAUCAACUGUCACAUCUCCGAUACUGAUUUUGAUAAUGUUUUCAUUCACUGGUACCAACAGAGGCCCAACGCAGCUCCCAAGCGCAUUGCCUACAUGUCCUCCAGGGUCUUCCUCGAAAACAAGUCCGAUGAGGGAAAGUUUAGUAUCGAGAAGGACGCUGCCAAAUCUGUCUGCACCCUGACGGUGAGCAAAGUAACUCUGCAAGACUCUGCUACCUACUACUGUGCUAGGUGGGAUGCACAGCAGUAGAAAGCCAUAGGGGACCCGCACAAAGAUGUGCUCUGCUUUCUGAACCAGAUCCUGAAGUGUUUGAAAACACGCAGGAACAUCCCCACCCUACUUUCCCUAUCAGCCCUGAAUCAGACACACUGUACAGGCAGCCAGAUACCAAAGACGCUGCGGAGCUAGUGCAGGCUUUGCAGACACACACACUACAGCCAGCACCAGCAGAGCUGUUACUUCACUUUACCAACUAAAAGGGUGUUUUUAUAGGUCUGGCUGGAUUGCCUCUGGGUGGGUUUACAGGACAGCAGGGUGGGCUAGCUAAAAGAAGAAAAAACCUUUCUAUUCCUACUACCCUUCAGGCUACAUCUUUGGAAUAAAUCCCCAGUUACAUCAUUUGCGUGGCAGAAUAGAAGGAUGUAAGUAAAAAUAAACCUGAAGCACCGCUCAGGACUGCAGAUGUAAUAUACCCAUUUU